rnacentral:rRNA from 1 species
AUUGAACGCUGGCGGCAUGCCUAACACAUGCAAGUCGAACGGCAGCACGGCAGUAGCAAUACUGUGGGUGGCGAGUGGCGGACGGGUGAGGAAUACGUCGGAAUCUGCCCAAUCGUGGGGGAUAACUAACCGAAAGGUUAGCUAAUACCGCAUACGACCGAGAGGUGAAAGCGGGGGACCGCAAGGCCUCGCGCGAUUGGAUGAGCCGACGUCGGAUUAGCUUGUUGGUGGGGUAAAGGCCUACCAAGGCAACGAUCCGUAGCUGGUCUGAGAGGAUGAUCAGCCACACUGGAACUGAGACACGGUCCAGACUCCUACGGGAGGCAGCAGUGGGGAAUAUUGGACAAUGGGCGGAAGCCUGAUCCAGCAAUGCCGCGUGUGUGAAGAAGGCCUCGGUUGUAAGACACUUAUCUAGACGAAAGACGUGGAGUUAAUACUACUGACGUGCUGACGGUACC